CCCCUGGUGGUCUAGUGCUUAGGAUUUGGCACUCUCGCCACCGCAGCCUGCGUUCAAUUCCCGGUCAGGGAA
rnacentral:tRNA from 1 species